rnacentral:rRNA from 1 species
AUUGAACGCUGGCGGCAUGCCUUACACAUGCAAGUCGAACGGCAGCACGGGUGCUUGCACCUGGUGGCGGGUGGCGAACGGGUGAGUAAUACAUCGGAACGUACCUUAUCGUGGGGGAUAACGCAGCGAAAGCUGUGCUAAUACCGCAUACGCCCUGAGGGGGAAAGCGGGGGAUCGCAAGACCUCGCGCGAUUAGAGCGGCCGAUGCCUGAUUAGCUAGUUGGUGGGGUAAAAGCCCACCAAGGCGACGAUCAGUAGCUGGUCUGAGAGGACGAUCAGCCACACUGGGACUGAGACACGGCCCAGACUCCUACGGGAGGCAGCAGUGGGGAAUUUUGGACGAUGGGGGCAACCCUGAUCCAGCAAUGCCGCGUGAGUGAAGAAGGCCUUCGGGUUGUAAAGCUCUUUUGUCAGGGAAGAAACACCGGCUCUAGCACAGUCCGGGAAUGACGGUACCUGAAGAAUAAGCACCGGCUAACUACGUGCCAGCCGCCGCGGUAA